UACAUGUGGGGCAAGCGUUGUUCGGAAUUACUGGGCAUAAAGGGUGCGUAGGCGGUUUGUUAAGUCACUGGUGAAAGUUUUCGGCCCAACCGGAAAAUUGCCUGUGAUACUGGCGAACUGGAGUGCGUGAGGGGUGGGGGGAAGCGAGCAGUGUAGCGGUGAAAUGCGUAGAUAUGCGGAGGAACACCGGUGGCGAAGGCGAAUCCCUGGAAAAUACCUGACACUGAGGCACGAAAGCUAGGGGAGCAAACAGGAUAGAAACCC
rnacentral:rRNA from 1 species